AACAUGUUGAAAAGCUUUCCAGGCCAACUUCCUUCGAAAUUGUUGAUCAUCAUUAUCUCCACGAAGGAACUCCAAAAGAUCUGGGUAAUCUUCAGAAUCAACUACGACCAAAACAUCCCUAUGAUUCUUUGCAGCAGCCCUAAUCAUGGCAGGUCCACCAAUAUCGAUGUUUUCAAUUCCAUCUUCAAAUGAAAUGCCACUUGAAGAAGAAACCUUGGCAUAAAAGGGAUACAAAUUGACCACUACAACAUCAAAUGUACCAAUUUCAUGUUUUUCAAGAGCUUCCAUGUGAUGCUCCUGAUCUCUUCUAGCAAGGAUACCUCCAUGAAUGCCUGGAUGCAAAGUUUUUACACGGCCAUCAAGCAUUUCAGGGAAACGAGUCAGCUCUUCCACUUUGGUGACAGACACACCAGCACCUUCCAAAGCAGAUGCAGUGCCUCCCGUUGAAACAAUUGUGUACCCCAACUCCUGCAGCCCAUUGCCAAGCUUAGCCAAGUCUGUCUUAUCUGAAAGUGAUAUCAAUGCUUGCUUCCUCCCUGAAGUUGACAGCUUGGGAGAAGACUGAGGAGUAGCUACAGUUUCAGCCAUAGCUUUCACUGGAUGAACAAUCAACCUAUACGACGUCUUCGAGAACUGUUGUGGGCCGAAACAAUGAUCAGUUCUUGUUCGGAUGGUGUGGAGCUGCGGAAUUUGAGUGCGGAAAGCUUUGGCGGCAAUGGCGGUGGCCGGCGUGGUGGCGGCGGAAGAGGCCGAUAACAUUGUUUUUGUUCACUUUUUUGGGGGGUUUUAAAAAAAGACUAUCUGGGUUUUAAUUUGGAUUUUUGGAUGAAGAGGAGAAGAGAGUGGCAACACUUACCUA
rnacentral:misc_RNA from 1 species